rnacentral:sRNA from 1 species
GAAGACCAGCCUGCCUCUGGUCGGUUCCCGGCGCUCUGCGUUUCGUGACCUUGUCCAGUAGAAGGCUAUUUAAUUUUCACAACUGCUUGAAUUUUGACAUACAAGAUGAAGCAAGAUGCCUCAAGAAAUGCUGCCUACACUGUGGAUUGUGAAGAUUAUGUGCAUGUGGUAGAAUUUAAUCCCUUUGAGAAUGGGGAUUCAGGAAACCUAAUUGCAUAUGGUGGCAAUAAUUAUGUGGUCAUUGGCACGUGUACGUUUCAGGAAGAAGAAGCAGACGUUGAAGGCAUUCAGUAUAAAACACUUCGAACAUUUCACCAUGGAGUCAGGGUUGAUGGCAUAGCUUGGAGCCCAGAGACUAGACUUGAUUCAUUGCCUCCAGUAAUCAAAUUUUGUACUUCAGCUGCUGAUAUGAAAAUUAGAUUAUUUACUUCAGAUCUUCAGGAUAAAAAUGAAUAUAAGGUUUUAGAGGGCCAUACCGAUUUCAUUAAUGGUUUGGUGUUUGAUCCCAAAGAAGGCCAAGAAAUUGCAAGUGUGAGUGACGAUCACACCUGCAGGAUUUGGAACUUGGAAGGAGUGCAGACAGCUCAUUUUGUUCUUCAUUCUCCUGGCAUGAGUGUGUGCUGGCAUCCUGAGGAGACUUUUAAGAUAUGAAAGAUAACUCCAGGUCACUCAACAGGUUUAAAUGGUACAGCUCAGGAGUUUUGAUGCCAAAUCCCACAUUCUUGCCAAUCUACCACUACUAUUUACACCCUCAAGGAUUUUUCAACUUAAUAGAACCAGAAUU